UACGUAGGGGGCAAGCGUUGUCCGGAUUUAUUGGGCGUAAAGAGCGUGUAGGCGGUCAGGUAGGUCCGUUGUGAAAACUCGAGGCUCAACCUCGAGACGCCGAUGGAAACCAUCUGACUAGAGUCCGGAAGAGGAGAGUGGAAUUCCUGGUGUAGCGGUGAAAUGCGCAGAUAUCGGAAGGAACACCUGUGGCGAAAGCGGCUCACUGGACCAUAACUGACGCUGAUGCACGAAAGCUAGGGGAGCAAACAGG
rnacentral:rRNA from 1 species